CACAGUCUCCUUUGUUGUUGUUAAUUGU
rnacentral:piRNA from 1 species